rnacentral:rRNA from 1 species
AUGAAAUUUCCACUACUCAGCAGCAUGGCAGUGGUGCUAUUUCUUGUGAUGUUUGCUUCUGUAGACCAGAUUAUGGACUUGGUGGACCGGUUUAAGAUGACCAGAUUCCCAUCGUGGGAGAUUGUGAGCUCCAGUGAGGUGGUGUUCUUGAUUGGUGUGUCCCUAUUUGCAACCCAUGCAGAAGUAAGUUUGGGGACUGUAUUGAACCAUAUGCCAAGGUACCAGUUGGUGGUGUCUUGGGAGGGUUUGCUGCUGCUUGUGUUGAAGAAGCCAAGCGCGUACCUGCCAUUCUUGGAGACGAGGUUGUCGUUGACACCAAGUGCUUGGCCGGCGAAGAUGGUGUCCGUCGCGGCAGAACUUGCUGGGGCGCGUAGGAAGAAGAGCAAGGUGAAAACAAUGGGGAGGAAAGGCAUGGUGUUCUAA